rfam:Oryza glumipatula chromosome 2, whole genome shotgun sequence.
AAAAAGACAAACCCUGGUUUUCGUGUUCAACGUUUGAUUGUCCGUCUUAUAUAAAUUUUUUUAUAAUUAGUAUUUUCAUUGUUGUUAAAUGAUAAAACAUGAUUAAUGCUUUAUGCAUGACUUAUUUUUUUUAUCUUUUUUAUAAUUUUUUCAAAUAAGAUGGACGGUCGAACGUUUGACAUAAAAAUCCAGGGUUUGUCUUUUU